GUGCCAGCCGCCGCGGUAAGACGAACCGUGCAAACGUUAUUCGGAAUCACUGGGCUUAAAGGGCGCGUAGGCGGGCAACCAAGUCCGAGGUGAAAUCCUCCAGCUUAACUGGAGAAGUGCCCCGGAUACUGGUGGCCUCGAGGAGGGUAGGGGCAUCUGGAACUAGCGGUGGAGCGGUGAAAUGCGUUGAUAUCGCUAGGAACUCCGGUGGCGAAGGCGAGGUGCUGGACCCUUUCUGACGCUGAGGCGCGAAAGCCAGGGGAGCGAACGGGAUUAGAUACCCCCGUAGUCC
rnacentral:rRNA from 1 species